rnacentral:rRNA from 1 species
GAUGAACGCUAGCGGCAGGCCUAACACAUGCAAGUCGAGGGGUAGAACACUUCGGUGUUUGAGACCGGCGCACGGGUGCGUAACGCGUACGCAAUCUACCUUAUACAGGGGAAUAGCCCAGAGAAAUUUGGAUUAAUGCCCCAUAGCAUUACGACUUGGCAUCAAGAUGUAAUUAAAGUUCCAACGGUAUAAGAUGAGCAUGCGUCCCAUUAGUUAGUUGGUAAGGUAACGGCUUACCAAGACAAGGAUGGGUAGGGGUCCUGAGAGGGAGAUCCCCCACACUGGUACUGAGACACGGUCCAGACUCCUACGGGAGGCAGCAGUGGGGAAUUUUGGACAAUGGGCGAAAGCCUGAUCCAGCCAUUCCGCGUGCAGGAUGAAGGCCCUCGGGUUGUAAACUGCUUUUGUACAGAACGAAAAGGUUUCUACUAAUACUAGGAGCUCAUGACGGUACUGUAAGAAUAAGCACCGGCUAACUACGUGCCAGCCGCCGCGGUAAAAC